AUGCAGAAAUAUAACAUCGGAAACUCCAUGCUUGACACAACAUGGAAGGUAAUCAAACCCGCCAGCAGAUGCACUCGCACUGAAUUGCAAACAAGAUCAAUUGACAAGCGAGAACAACGCAUUGUAAGUACUGAUUUAUUGAAGCAACCCAGUGUGCCUUCAACUUUCAUGCCAGAAUGUUUAUCAGCGGAGAAUAGAAUAUUCGUAGCGUGGUCAUCAGCGGCCCGUUUCUCCAUCUCCAGCCACCAAAUCGAAACCUGCGGAGCAAGUAAUAACAUCAUCAGUCAAAGAAACUUUGUAGCUUUCAUUCAGGCAAAGCUGAUGGAGGUAUUCUCAUAA
rnacentral:rRNA from 1 species